GACGAACGCUGGCGGCGUGCUUAACACAUGCAAGUCGAACGGGAAGGCCCUGCUUUUGUGGGGUGCUCGAGUGGCGAACGGGUGAGUAACACGUGAGUAACCUGCCCUUGACUUUGGGAUAACUUCAGGAAACUGGGGCUAAUACCGGAUAGGAGCUCCUGCUGCAUGGUGGGGGUUGGAAAGUUUCGGCGGUUGGGGAUGGACUCGCGGCUUAUCAGCUUGUUGGUGGGGUAGUGGCUUACCAAGGCUUUGACGGGUAGCCGGCCUGAGAGGGUGACCGGCCACAUUGGGACUGAGAUACGGCCCAGACUCCUACGGGAGGCAGCAGUGGGGAAUUUUGCACAAUGGGCGGAAGCCUGAUGCAGCAACGCCGCGUGCGGGAUAACGGCCUUCGGGUUGUAAACCGCUUUCGCCUGUGACGAAGCGUGAGUGACGGUAAUGGGUAAAGAAGCACCGGCUAACUACGUG
rnacentral:rRNA from 1 species